ACGUAGGGUGCGAGCGUUAAUCGGAAUUACUGGGCGUAAAGCGUGCGCAGGCGGUUGUGUAAGACAGGUGUGAAAUCCCCGGGCUUAACCUGGGAACUGCGCUUGUGACUGCACAGCUAGAGUAUGGCAGAGGGGGGUGGAAUUCCACGUGUAGCAGUGAAAUGCGUAGAGAUGUGGAGGAACACCGAUGGCGAAGGCAGCCCCCUGGGCCGAUACUGACGCUCAUGCACGAAAGCGUGGGGAGCAAACAG
rnacentral:rRNA from 1 species